AGAGGUGUGGCUCAAUGGUAGUAUACAUGCCUAACAAGCAUGAGGACCUGAGUUCAAAUUUCAGUACCACCA
rnacentral:tRNA from 1 species